CCAAUAGCGUAUAUUAAAGUUGUUGCAGUUAAAAAGCUCGUAGUUGAAUUUCGGGAUUAGUACGUUGGUCGUGCCUUAGGUACGUACUGGUGUUACUGGUUCCUACCUUCUGACGAACCAUCAUGUCAUUAAUUUGGUGUGGUGGGGAAUCAGGACUGUUACUUUGAAAAAAUUAGAGUGUUUAAAGCAGGCUCGCGCUUGAAUACAUUAGCAUGGAAUAAUGAAAUAUGACGUUGACCCUAUUUUGUUGGUUUCUAGGAUUGACGUAAUGAUUAAUAGGGAUAGUUGGGGGCAUUAGUAUUCAAUUGUCAGAGGUGAAAUUCUUGGAUUUAUUGAAGACUAACUACUGCGAAAGCAUUUGCCAAGGAUGUUUUCAUUAAUCAAGAACGAAAGUUAGGGGAUCGAAGACGGUCAGGUACGUCGUAGUCUUAACCAUAAACUAUGCCGACUAGGAAUCAGACAAUGUUAAAUUUUUAAUGACUUGUUUGGCACCUUACG
rnacentral:misc_RNA from 1 species